rnacentral:rRNA from 1 species
UAAUACAUGCAAGUCGAACGCUUCUUUUCCCACCGGAGCUUGCUCCACCGGGAAAAGAGGAGUGGCGAACGGGUGAGUAACACGUGGGUAACCUGCCCAUCAGAAGGGGAUAACACUUGGAAACAGGUGCUAAUACCGUAUAACAAUCGAAACCGCAUGGUUUCGUUUUGAAAGGCGCUUUACGGUGCCGCUGAUGGAUGGACCCGCGGUGCAUUAGCUAGUUGGUGAGGUAACGGCUCACCAAGGCCACGAUGCAUAGCCGACCUGAGAGGGUGAUCGGCCACAUUGGGACUGAGACACGGCCCAAACUCCUACGGGAGGCAGCAGUAGGGAAUCUUCGGCAAUGGACGAAAGUCUGACCGAGCAACGCCGCGUGAGUGAAGAAGGUUUUCGGAUCGUAAAACUCUGUUGUUAGAGAAGAACAAGGGUGAGAGUAACUGUUCACCCCUUGACGGUAUCUAACCAGAAAGCCACGGCUAACUACGUGCCAGCAGCCGCGGUAAUACGUAGGUGGCAAGCGUUGUCCGGAUUUAUUGGGCGUAAAGCGAGCGCAGGCGGUUUCUUAAGUCUGAUGUGAAAGCCCCCGGCUCAACCGGGGAGGGUCAUUGGAAACUGGGAGACUUGAGUGCAGAAGAGGAGAGUGGAAUUCCAUGUGUAGCGGUGAAAUGCGUAGAUAUAUGGAGGAACACCAGUGGCGAAGGCGGCUCUCUGGUCUGUAACUGACGCUGAGGCUCGAAAGC